CGGGGUGUAGCUCAGCCUGGCAGAGCACCGCCUUCGGGAGGCGGGGGCCGGUGGUUCGAAUCCGCCCACCCCGACCA
rnacentral:tRNA from 1 species